CGGGGGGGGCAAGCGUUGUUCGGAAUUACUGGGCGUAAAGGGUGCGUAGGCGGCUCUCUAAGUCGGAUGUGAAAACUCUGGGCUCAACCCAGAGCCUGCAUCUGAAACUGGAGGGCUAGGGUUUUUGGAGGGGAAAGCGGAAUUCCAGGUGUAGCGGUGAAAUGCGUAGAUAUCUGGAGGAACACCGGUGGCGAAGGCGGCUUUCUGGACAAAUACCGACGCUGAGGCACGAAAGCUAGGGGAGCAAACAGGAUUAGAUACCCUGGUAGUCCUAGCCCUAAACUAUGGAUACUUGCUGUGGGGGGGAUUGAAGCCCCUUGUGGCGAAGCUAACGCAUUAAGUAUCCCGCCUGGGGAGUACGGUCGCAAGGCUG
rnacentral:rRNA from 1 species